UACGUAGGGGGCAAGCGUUGUCCGGAUUUAUUGGGCGUAAAGAGCGUGUAGGCGGCCAGAUAGGUCCGUUGUGAAAACUCGAGGCUCAACCUCGAGACGCCGAUGGAAACCAUUUGGCUAGAGUCCGGAAGAGGAGAGUGGAAUUCCUGGUGUAGCGGUGAAAUGCGCAGAUAUCAGGAGGAACACCAAUGGCGAAGGCAGCACUCUGGGACGUGACUGACGCUGAGACGCGAAAAGCGUGGGGGAGCAAACAGG
rnacentral:rRNA from 1 species